rnacentral:rRNA from 1 species
UCGAGUCGGCCUGCGCGGAAGAUGUAACGGGGCUAAACCAUGCACCGAAGCUGCGGCAGCGACACUAUGUGUUGUUGGGUAGGGGAGCGUUCUGUAAGCCUGUGAAGGUGUGCUGUGAGGCAUGCUGGAGGUAUCAGAAGUGCGAAUGCUGACAUAAGUAACGAUAAAGCGGGUGAAAAGCCCGCUCGCCGGAAGACCAAGGGUUCCUGUCCAA